rnacentral:tRNA from 1 species
UUCCUGGUGGCUCAGACAGUAAAGAACCUGCCUGAAAUUCAGGAGACCCAGGUUUGAUCCUGGGUCAGGAAG